GGUACUAUAUUAUUAUACACACAUCGCAGUAAAUCAUAUAAGAGAUUUUUUUUUUUUUUUUUUAUAGAGACGCUAAACAAUAUAAUAACGUUUUUAAUUUUUUUCGUCUGGUCGUCAUUCGUGGUAGUGUUUUAUGAUUUUGCACGACCGUAUUACGGUCGUGAACUCGGGUGGUGUAAAUUUUGAAAUUUCAAUUGUCUACCCGCAAUUUACGUUACUAAUACGUCGUGUACGAUCAAUCCUCGAUAAGGAUCAUCGUUAACUCGGAAUGUAUCGACAUUUUUCGAGUUUCUUUG